CUCUGUCUCUGUGUUUCUCUGUCUAUCUCUCUGCUUCUGCCUCUCUGUCUCUCUUGCUCUCCCCUGCCACCUUGUCUAUGUCUUUCUCUCUUUCUUUCCAUUUCUCUGUGUCUCUGUUCCUUUCGCUUUCUGUGUCUGUCUCUGUCUGUCUCUCUCUGUCAUCUCUCUGUCUCUUUUUGUCUCUCUGUCUCUGUGACUCUGUCUCUGUCUCUGUUUUUCUUUGUCUCUGUCUGUCUCUCUGUCUCUGUAGCUCUGUCUCUGUUUUUUUCUGUCUCUGUCUUUCUGACUUUCCCUCUCUAUCUGUCUCUCCUUUCUCUGUCACUCUGCCUCUGUCCCUGUCUGUGUCUCUCUGUCUCUGCCUCUGUAUCACUCUGCCUCUGUCUCUCUCUCUUUCCUUCUCUCUGUCUCUGUCUCUGUCUGUCUCUCUUAGUCUCUGUCUCACUCUGUCUCUGUCUCUCUGAAUCUGUCACUUUUCCUCUGUCUCUCUUUGUCUCUCUGUCUCUGUCUCUCUCUAUCACCUUCUCUCUGUCUCUUUCUGUCCCUCUCUGUCUCUGUCCUUGUCUGUGUCUCUCCCUAUCUCUGUAUCACUCUCUGACUGUCUCUAUCUCUCUGUCUCUCUCUUUCUCUGUGUCCCUGUGUGUCUCUCUGUCUCUGUCUUUCUCUGUCUUUAUCUCUGUCUCUGUCUCUCUUUAUCACCUUCUCUCUGUCCUUUUCUGUCUCUUUCUGUCCCUCUGUCUCUGUAGCUGUGUCUGUCCCUGUCUGUCUGUCUCUCUGUCUCUGUCUUUCUCUGCCUCUCUGUCUCUGUCUCUCCAUCUCUGUUUCUCUGUAUUUCUGUCUCUGUCUUUCUGUUUUUCUUCUCUCUAUUUCUGUCUCUCUGUUUCUCUCUCAGUCUCUGUGUCUUUCUUUCUCUUUCUGUCUCUGUCUCUAUCUCUCUGGCUGUGUCUCUUUCUGUCUCUGUCUUUUUGUUUCUGUUUCUCUUCUCUAUAUUUCUGUUUCUCUCCGUGUCUCUCUCUCGAUCUGUGUGUAGGUCUCUGUCUCUGUCUCUCUGUGUCUCCAUCUUUUACUCUCUCUGACUCUGUCUCUCUUUGCUCUCUCUCUCUCUCUCUCUCUCUCUCUCUCUCUCUCUCUCUCUCUCUCUCUCUCUCUCUGUCUCUUCUGUUUCUUUGUCUAUCUCUGUCUCUCUGUGUCUUUCUGUCUCUGUUUCUCUGACUCCGUCUCUGUUUCUGUCUUUCUUCUCUCUGUUUCUGCCUCUCUCAGUCUCUAUCUCUGAUUCUUUCUGUUGCUCCCUUUCUCUGUGUCUCUGUCCCUCUCUGUCUCUGCCUUUCUAUCUCUCUCAGUCUUUGUUUCUUUCUGUCUUUUUCUCUCUAUGUCUUUCUGUCUCUGUCUCUCUUCUCUCUAUUUCUGUCUCUCUUUGUCUCUCCAUCUCUGUCUCUCUUUCUCUGUCUCUUUCUCUGUAUCUAGGUCUGUGUCUCUGUCUCUCUGUCUGUCUCUCAGUCUCUGUCUCUGUCUAUUUCUGUCUCUCUGUUUCUCUCUCUCUUCUCUCUAUUUCUGUUUCUCUCUUUCUCCUGCCACCUUGUCUUUGUCUCUGUCUCUCCCUUUCUCUGUGUCUAUUUUUCUCUCUCUCUGUCUCCUCUCUCUGUCUCUGUUUCUCUUUUUAUCUCUGUCUCUUUCUCUCUCUUUCUCUGUGUCUUUCUUUUUAUCUCUCUGCCACUCUGUCUCUCUGUUUCUCUUUUUAUCUCUGUCUCUUUCUGUCUGUUUCUCUGUUUCUCUCUUUGUCUCUGUCUCUCUGACUCUUUCUCUUUCUGUUACUCUGUCUCUCUGUCUUUUUCUUUCUCUCCCUUUGUCUCUCUGUCUUUCUCUGUCUCUAUCUCUGUCUCUCUCUUUCCUUUUAUCUCUGUCUCUCCCUGUCUCUCUCUGUCAAUGUCUGUCUCUCUGAAUUUUUAUUUCUCUCUUUUCUCUAUAUCUGUCUCUCUGCCUCUGUCUCUCUCCUGGUAGCCUGUCUCUGUCUCUCUCUGUCUCUUUCUCUCUGUUCUCUGCCUCUGCUGGUGUCUCUCUGUGUCUCUGUAUCUCUCAGU
ensembl:lncRNA